UACGAAGGGCCCAAGCGUUAUCCGGAUUUAUUGGGCUUAAAGGGUGCGUAGGCGGCAUAUUAAGUCAGUGGUGAAAGCCUACAGCUUAACUGUAGAACUGCCAUUGAUACUGAUGUUCUUGAGUAUGAUUGAGGUGGGCGGAAUGUGUCAUGUAGCGGUGAAAUGCUUAGAUAUGACACAGAACACCGAUUGCGAAGGCAGCUCACUAAGCCAUAACUGACGCUGAUGCACGAAAGCGUGGGGAGCAAACAGG
rnacentral:rRNA from 1 species